rnacentral:rRNA from 1 species
GACAGAGGGUGCAAACGCUGUUCGGAUUUACUGGGCGUAAAGCGUGUGUAGGCGGCUUGGCAAGUUGGAUGUGAAAGCCCACGGCUCAACCGUGGAAGCGCACCCAAAACUGCUUCGCUCGAGUCUCGGAGAGGAAGGUGGAAUGCUUGGUGUAGAGGUGAAAUUCGUAGAUAUCAAGCAGAACACCUGCGGCGAAGGCGGCCUUCUGGACGAUGACUGACGCUGAGACACGAAAGCGUGGGGAGCAAACAGG